UACGUAGGGGGCUAGCGUUGUCCGGAAUCAUUGGGCGUAAAGCGCGUGUAGGCGGUCCGGUAAGUCCGCUGUGAAAGUCGGGGGCUCAACCCUCGGAUGCCGGUGGAUACUGUCGGGCUUGAGUACGGAAGAGGCGAGUGGAAUUCCUGGUGUAGCGGUGGAAUGCGCAGAUAUCAGGAGGAACACCUAUAGCGAAGGCAGCUUGCUGGGACGUUACUGACGCUAAG
rnacentral:rRNA from 1 species